UACAAACAGAAAUGUUAGUGAAAAACCACGAAAUAAAAAUUUAAACCAAUUAUUUAUACAACCAUUUACCCAAAAUACACAAAAACAAAUACCCACAGAACCACAAACCUCUACAUACGCAGUUAUUAUACAAGGUGAUAAAAAGAGAUACAAUUACAUCACACAAUCGUAUAUUGAAAACAUAUAUAAGAUCCAAACAUUUUUAAAUUUAAACCCCAGAUCCACACAAACCAAAAACCCAAAUGAGGAUUAUAUAACCCAAAAAUCACAAGGAUAUAAUAGAUUGAUUGCACAACCUAAAACUAGUUCAAACUUAGUUAAAACAUGUUACAAUUAUGGAUUACUAAGUACCGUAUACACAUAUGAUGGAGAAGAAAUAAGUGGAAUACCAGAAUUAUACAAAGCGUUCGUCAUAUACAAAAGAGUUACCAAAGGAAAUUUAUUUUAUAUUAAGUUUUAUACAACGCCAGCCAGGGUUACGAAAGGCGCUCGCCUCCUCGCCAAAGGCGAGAGACGUGGCGAGGCGAGGGUUCCUCGCCAUUCUCUGGCAAGGCGAGGCGAGGGUAAAUAAGCGAGUUGUGGUACUGAAAUGGCGAGAGAAAAGGCGCCACCUUUUUAAUUAAAAAAUUUUGACUUAAUAAUAUUAGUCAAAAUUAGGGUUUUUUUUUUCUUUUGAAAAUUUUCUGAAAUCCACAUCAUGACUCUCUCUCGAUCGAUCGAUUGACUCUUCUCUUCUCCUCCAUCGCGUCUCUUCUCCCUCGCUAUCGCCUUUUGCUUCUCCUUCUCCCUCGCCGACCGACCCUCGCGACUCUAGUUCCCUCCGACGUCCAACCCUCGCGACUCUCACUCUCUGUUUUCAGCGAAUUAAUUGAAUUUAAUAAUCAAUGGCGGAUGCUAGCAAAAAGAGGGACAUUGAAUGGAAUUAUGGCACACAAGGAGCGACGAAAGAUUCGGUCAAUUGUAACUUUUGGAGCAGAGGAUUUUGAUCUUCAAGAUUUGGAUAAUUUUUAAGAAGAAUAGACUUUUAAAGUUUUGGUUUAUUGUAUUUUGAAUUGUUUGGUCUUUAAAGUUUUAUACAUUUUAGUAUCUACUAUUGAUUUUUGAAUUGAAUAUUUGCUAAUAUGUGUUAUUGCUAUUAAGACUUUGGAUAAAAUAUGCAAUUAAAUAUUUUUAAUUUUUGGUAA